GGAAGUAAAAGUCGUAAUAAGGUCUCCGUAGGUGAACCUGCGGAGGGAUCAUUACAGAGUUCAUGCCCUACCGGGUAGAUCUCCCACCCUAUGUUAUUAUUACUUUGUUGCUUUGGCGGGCCGUUAGGCUCCGGCCCGACUACCGGCCCCGGCUGGUAAGCGCCCGCCAGAGGACCCAAAACCCUGAAUAUUAGUGUCGUCUGAGUACUAUAUAAUAGUUAAAACUUUCAACAACGGAUCUCUUGGUUCUG
rnacentral:misc_RNA from 1 species